AAAAUUUACCUAAGUGAAAAAAGAAUACUCGUUGAUGUUAUAGUAAAGCUAAAUAAAAAGGAUACUUGUUGUUAGAGCUUGCUUUGAAAAAGAAUCUAACCAGCUGGUUUCUAGUUUAUUCUGUCUAGAUAAAAAGAAUACUUAACCUCUGCUCUAUUAAAUAUCAGUUUUCAAUACAUCAUUUUAACAAUAAACCUCUCAUCUUUAAACAAAUAAUAAGUAUAAUUUUUUAGUAUGAGAUCAGACUUCAAGAAAGCCACCAACAAAUACAAGGUAUCAUUUUUAGGAGUGAAAUCAAAUAUGUUAGCAGCUAGCAAUAAAAUGUUAAAGAUAUAGAGACUGAACCAAACGUCAGAUGCAGAUCCGUGUAUAACAACAAAGAAGAAGGCAGCGGUAGUGUAAUGGUUGACGGUUGGCGGCAGUUACUAGUGGAAGUUGAAAUGAAGUUGUGGAAGUUAAAAUUACGGAUCAUCCCUCAUUGGCUCAUUUGAUAUGUCACGUCCCUUGUGCACAAGGGCGGAGCUAGGAAUGAAAUGUCAAGGGGACCGAGUCUAACAAGAUCUUGAAAGCGUCCUACCACAAGAAAUAUUGAGAAUUUCAAAGAUAUGAGCUACCAACUAGGCAUGACAACAUAUCUUGCACCUGGAGAUGUCCAUCCAAACUUGUCUCAAAUUUAAUCUGAAAAAUUCGCUUUAAUUGAAUGAAGAUGCGGGAAAAACCCGCUUCACCCCACACCCAAGCCCGCCCCAUUAGUAACAAAACAAUUUACAUUUUGU